rnacentral:rRNA from 1 species
AUUGAACGCUGGCGGAAUGCUUUACACAUGCAAGUCGAACGAUGAACCUUAGCUUGCUAAGGGGGUUAGUGGCGAACGGGUGAGUAAUGUAUCGGAACGUAUCCAAUAAUGGGGGAUAACUAGUCGAAAGAUUAGCUAAUACCGCAUACGUCCUACGGGAGAAAGCUAGGGACCUUCGGGCCUGGCGUUAAUGGAGCGGCCGAUAUCUGAUUAGCUAGUUGGUGGAGUAAAGGCUCACCAAGGCGACGAUCAGUAGCUGGUCUGAGAGGACGACCAGCCACACUGGAACUGAGACACGGUCCAGACUCCUACGGGAGGCAGCAGCGGGGAAUUUUGGACAAUGGGCGAAAGCCUGAUCCAGCCAUUCCGCGUGAGUGAAGAAGGCCUUCGGGUUGUAAAGCUCUUUCGCAAGAGAAGAAAACUUAAGCUCUAACAUAGCUUGAGGUUGACGGUACCUUGAUAAGAAGCACCGGCUAACUACGUGCCAGCAGCCGCCGCCG